GGAAAACUUCAUACUAAAAACUAUAAUGCGUGUAUUUACACGUUUAAUAAAUAAGCCAUAUAAAACAUUAGCCUCUUUUAGACUAAUCUCUAACAAGAGAGAUUCGCUCUUCUGAAGUUUCUGGGCAAAUCAUACCGCAUUUGUGCUUAGUCACACCAUACUUAAUCAGGCAAAGAAGCGAAACCCUGCCACUGGUGAUUCCUGUCCUUUUGCACUUAUCUUUUUGCUCAAAUAUUUUUAUAGCCUAUCUGUUACGUGACUUCCUGCUAGUUUAUGACCCACUGUAGUGAUCUCCAGCUGUGCAUAAUCGUGGCACCGUCCACUGAGUCAGUAAACAUCACGUGCGUGUGUUAAAGGUGCUAGAAAUCACCGGCUCGGCGCCACACCCGCUGGAGGAAACGUGGGGGUCGCCAGGUUUUCACAACAAAACUCGCCCAGUUGCUACUACUUAGUAAUAGAGUGAAAUACAGUUUUUUUGGGCUGGGUUCCCAUUGUAAAAAUCUGCAUCGUGCGGGCUAAAUAUCACUAUUCGCGGUUGUUUCGCCUAAACGGUGCGAAUUAGUCCAGUUCAGCGGGAAAAGCGCGGACAUGGCAACCCUGGAGUCACCAGUUCAGGUAUCACGGACUGAUCUGCUGUUUCAGACAGUGCUGUGCAGGUAAAUAGCAGGUAACUAGGUAAAUAGGUAAAUAGAGCCCAGCGGACGUCUAAUGCGCAACAUACAGGUCACCUUGUAACAAAUCAAUGUUUUUUAUUUGUAUCGUACAUGCCCAGGUGCUGCGGUGAACUGUGGGUGGAGACUGACAGAAGACCUUUAUAAUCUGCUCUGACAGGGCAGGAGUAAUUAUCUAUUCUGUGAGCUUUCCUGUAAAAUUAAACAUUUGCAUGCAUGUCUGGCCUUUAAAGGCAACACCCUGAACCAGAGGAACAGGCUGUUCGUCACGGCAUUUUUUUUCCACUAUCGUUUAGUGGCACGUAAUUUCUCAUCUCUGUUUAAAAGAGAUUGUUUUGACACUGCAUGGUGCUUGAUAGGAAUCUGUCGCUCCUCCGUAGAUGAUGGACACGCAGCAUCCUAUUACAGGCGCCUUACUACAGCAAGUAUGAGCAGAUGUUUUCAGAAAGGUGCAUUUACAUCUUAAAGAAUCAAGUCUCUCGUGGAUAUCUGGUAAUGUAAUAGCGCUGCAAUAAGUUUCAGGACACUCUUUCUGCUGAGGGCUGAAUUUUUGAUAAAAUUGUUGCGCCAUCUAGUGGUCAACCAUGUACGAUACAAGCACUGCACGAGACGAUUAUAGCUGCUAAUGGAUGCAUGAUUCUUGAUGUAUUUGAUUUUACCGAUGACAGCAAAACUAUGAGAUAUCAGAAGAAUUAUUAACAUCUGCCAUUUGUUUGCAAGGACUUCCUUAUUGACCGAAUAAUGUAUCUGGAUCAUUUUAGGGAGUCGCUGCCGUUUGUAAACAUGACAUAAGUGCAGCUAUCAAACUGAACCCUGAAGAGCUAAAUCAUUCAAGUUUCAAUAAAUCAAGUUUGCAUUUUAUAUUAAACUCUCUGUCGAUGCA